CCUCCCUUAGCUGCUCCCCUUGCUUCUUUCGGGCGGAGCGUCCCGCGAGCACGGCUUGAUUUGACUGCUACCUUCUCUCAUCUGGCUUUCAAUAAAGUUUUCCUCUUCGUCCCCUUGUACGGAGCUCAAGAUGGCGGCCUCCUGGUCGCCCUUGCUUAUCCUGCGCUCCUUAGCGCGGAGCCGGCUGAGAGGGACUUGUGUGGGGUGCGGGGCCCAGGCCACCCCUCUUGCUGCUCGGGCCACCGACCCUGGGAGGCCCCUUUGGAAAGCCUACACAGUUCAGACACUUGAUGAUGUCACCCCAGCUGCUACUUCUGAGGCCUAUUUGAAAGCUUUGGCUGUUUGUCAUGGACCUCUGGACCACUAUGACUUUCUGAUCAAAGCUCAGGAGCUAAAGGCUGAUGAACAUCAAAGAAGAGUCAUACAGUGUUUACAGAAAUUGCAUGAGGACCUUAAAAGAUACAGUAUAGAGGCAGAAGACUUCCUUUCAAAGCUUUUUUCAAGGAGCAAACCUCCAAGGGGCCUGUAUGUUUAUGGAGAUGUUGGUACAGGGAAAACAAUGGUGAUGGACAUAUUUUAUACUUAUGUGGAAAUGAAGAGGAAAAAACGGGUCCAUUUUCACGGUUUCAUGCUCGAUGUGCACCAAAGAAUACAUCGCCUUAAGCAGAGUUUGCCAAAAAGAAAACCAGGAUUCAUGACCAAAUCAUAUGACCCAAUAGCUCCCAUAGCUGAAGAAAUCAGCCAAGAAGCACGUCUCUUAUGUUUUGAUGAAUUUCAGGUCACUGACAUUGCUGAUGCCAUGAUUCUGAAACAGCUUUUUGAAAAUCUGUUCAAAAAUGGGGUCGUCGUUGUGGCAACAUCCAACAGACCACCGGAAGAUCUCUAUAAGAAUGGACUCCAAAGGGCUAACUUUGUACCAUUCAUAGCUGUCCUGAAGGAGUAUUGUAAUACUGUCCAGCUAGAUUCUGGGAUAGAUUACCGGAAAAGGGAACUCCCUGCUGCAGGAAAACUCUACUACCUCACAAGUGAAGCUGAUGUGGAGGCUGUCAUGGAUAAGUUGUUUGAUGAGCUGGCUCAGAAACAAAAUGAUUUAACUAGACCAAGGAUUCUAAAAGUGCAAGGCAGAGAGCUGCGGCUGAAUAAAGCCUGUGGAACCAUUGCCGACUGCACAUUUGAAGAGCUGUGUGAGAGACCACUUGGAGCUAGUGACUAUUUGGAACUGUCAAGGAAUUUUGAUACAAUAUUUUUACGGAACAUUCCACAAUUUACACUGGCAAAGAGGACUCAAGCUCGAAGAUUUAUAACUCUCAUUGAUAACUUUUAUGAUUUCAAGGUGCGUAUCAUUUGCUCUGCCUCGACUCCUCUACCAGGCUUAUUUCUGCAUCAACAUCAUGACAGUGAGUUGGAGCAAAGCAGAAUACUGAUGGAUGAUUUGGGGCUGAGCCAGGAUGCAGCAGAAGGACUCUCCAUGUUUACCGGAGAAGAGGAAAUCUUUGCAUUUCAGCGCACCAUCUCCCGACUCACAGAAAUGCAGACUGAACAGUACUGGAAUGAAGGAGACAGAAGCAAGAAGUAACUGUCUCUCUCACAUGAGCAAAACUAGACAGAUGAUUAAUUCAGGGAGAACUCUGUAUUGUGAGACUUGAAGGAAUCAUUUUCUCAUCGUCAGUUAUGCACUUUGUCCUCUGGACCACUCUCAUCUAAAACUGCUGUCAAAGAUGUAGUGGAUUAGCUCUUUCCUCCCUCCUCGGACAUGAUGAGAUUGGCCACAGUGGAAGAGGCUUUCUGAGUAGGAGUGAGGCAUAUGGGAAAGGGAGCUCGGAGGCUUUCACUGGGCUUGGCCGAGGUUUCAGGAGAGCAAAAUGGAAUACCAUGGUGCCUGAAAAUGGUACGUAUUGACCUUCAUCUCCUCUCCACAAGUCUGUUUCAUAAAAAAGCAUGCUAGAAAAAGAAAUGAAAGUCUUAAUGAUUAGCCAUUACCAGAAAACAAUAUGGUAGCUCUUCUAAAAGGAAGUAGGGUGUAUGGUUAUCACUAUUUUCCAGACGGGAACCUGAGUUAUAGAAAAUGGCUAGGUUAUAGAAAAUGACUAGAACAGAAUGUUUUAAGGUAGGCAUUGGAAUCAAUAAAUUAUAA